rnacentral:rRNA from 1 species
GACGAACGCUGGCGGCGUGCUUAACACCUGCAAGUCGAACGGAAAGGCCCUGCUUUUGUGGGGUGCUCGAGUGGCGAACGGGUGAGUCACACGUGAGUAACCUGCCCUUGACUUUGGGAUAACUUCAGGAAACUGGGGCUAAUACCGGAUAGGAGCUCCUGCUGCAAGGUGGGGGUUGGAAAGUUUCGGCGGUUGGGGAUGGACUCGCGGCUUAUCACCUUGUUGGUGGGGUAGUGGCUUACCAAGGCUUUGACGGGUAGCCGGCCUGAGAGGGUGACCGGCCACAUUGGGACUGAGAUACGGCCCAGACUCCUACGGGAGGCAGCAGUGGGGAAUAUUGCACAAUGCGCGGGACCCUGAUGCAGCAACGCCGCGUGCGGGAUGACGGCCUUCGGUUUGUAAACCGCUUUCGCCUGUGACGAAGCGUGAGUGACGGUAAUGGGUAAAGAAGCACCGGCUAACUACGUG